AUUGAACGCUGGCGGCAGGCUUAACACAUGCAAGUCGAGCGGAGAGAGGUAGCUUGCUACUGAUCUUAGCGGCGGACGGGUGAGUAAUGCUUAGGAAUCUGCCUAUUAGUGGGGGACAACAUUUCGAAAGGAAUGCUACUACCGCAUACGUCCUACGGGAGAAAGCAGGGGAUCUUCGGACCUUGCGCUAAUAGAUGAGCCUAAGUCGGAUUAGCUAGUUGGUGGGGUAAAGGCCUACCAAGGCGACGAUCUGUAGCGGGUCUGAGAGGAUGAUCCGCCACACUGGGACUGAGACACGGCCCAGACUCCUACGGGAGGCAGCAGUGGGGAAUAUUGGACAAUGGGCGGAAGCCCGAUCCAGCCAUGCCGCGUGUGUGAAGAAGGCCUUAUGGUUGUAAAGCACUUUAAGCGAGGAGGAGGCUACUUUAGUUAAUACCUAGAGAUAGUGGACGUUACUCGCAGAAUAAGCACCGGCUAACUCUGUGCCAGCAGCCGCCGUAAAAC
rnacentral:rRNA from 1 species